AUGAGCAAUUCCUGCGAGUGCUGCAACAGAUACUGGACUCAUUUGCAUGGAAAGGUCAAGUGUUUCUUCACGCAGAUGGAUAGACACUCUAGGCAUAGCAUGGUCAUACCAGAGAGAUUUGUGAACUAUUUUGGAUGGAAGCUGUCAGGAACCAUUGAACUAGAAGCCCCCAAUGGUAGUGUUUACGAUGUUGAAAUUGCUGAGCGUAGGAACAAAACAUUACUCAGAUCUGGGUGGGAGGCGUUUGUCGAUGCCAAUCAUAUAGUAGAGAACGACUCAUUGAUGUUCCGAUACCGUGGAAGUUGUCGCUUCAAGGUUGUGGUCUUUGAUUCUAGUGGUUGUGAGAAAGUGGUGUCCUGUGCUCGCAUACUGACCAAUAUUAGUGAUCAAGAACCAAGCACAAAUUCUGCAGACAUUUCGACCAGUUUCAGUGAUGGUAAUACUCCUUCGUCAGCACGAGCACGAUCAGAUGGUUGCCAGAGUGGAAGCUCAGGCCACCUUAGAAAACGAGCAAAGAAAGAUGCAAUAUCUUAUCCUUCGGAGGCAGAAGACAGUCCUUAUGAGCAUGAGUCAUCUGAAUUCGAUGAUCAGACGCUCCCAACGCCUCUUUAUGUGUUAUCAGGGAAUUGCUAUGUAACAGAAGAAGAUGAGGCCAAUAUAUUUGCACUUGCCCAGGAAAUUCAACCUGAAAUGCCUCUGCUUGUGGCUAUGAUGACGAAGCCCAGUGUGAAACCAUAUCCUGAUCUGGUAAUUCCCAAGGAUUACACACUCGCACACUUUCCACACAGAAACCAGACUAUCAAACUACAGCUGCCUGAGCAGAGCAAGAAAUGGUACUGCGAGUUCCGUGUCAAAUCUGAUGGAGGUCGUUGCAAUCUAAAGGAGUGUGGCUUUGCCCGUGACAAUCAUUUACUGGAGGGAGAUCUGUGCGUCUUCCAGCCCAUGAUGAAUCGUAAGGGUAGAACAUUCAAAGUGAUGGUCCAUCUGCUUCGCAAAGCAAGCAUUGAUCAUCCCUUCGGUAAAAAUGGUUUGACAAGCAAAAAGAAUGCUCCAACAUUGUGUAUUAAGGAGGAACCAAAUGACGGAGAAGAAACCCCUUCUUUGGGACAUGAAGAACAUGGAAUCAGUGACGAAGAACCCUACAUGAUGCCAAGGGGUACCUGUCUAACGCAACUGCAGAAGAAGAAAAUUUUGGAGAAAGUUGAAGCCAUCGGAUCAGAUCUGCACAUCUACAUCGCAGUCAUGACCAGGAGCAGUAUCCUCGUCUCCCUAUCCUUUGCCAUAAAGUACUCUGCCACGUACCUUCAGAAGGGGAGCGGGAGUUUGGUGCUUCAGGUGGAGGGUAAGAGCCAGAUAUGGCAUGAUGAAAUGCGCGAAAAGGCGGGUGCCAUGAGGAUACGUGCAGGCUGGACUUCUUUUGCCAGCGACAACAACCUGCGGGAGGGGGACAUCUGCCUCUUCGAGCUGAUGAAAAACGAGGGGGGACUGAAGAAGAUGGUGGUCUAUAUCAUUCCCCGUGAGCUUUGCUAG
rnacentral:rRNA from 1 species